rnacentral:rRNA from 1 species
AUUGAACGCUGGCGGCAGGCUUAACACAUGCAGGUCGAGCGAGCGGCGGACGGGUGUGUAAGGCCUGGGAAACUGCCUGCUGGAGGGGGAUAACUACUGGAAACGGUAGAUAAUACCGCAUACACUCAGAUGUCCCCAGAUCGGAUUAGCUAGUCGGUGGGGUAAUGGCGCACCUAGGCGACGAUCCCUAGCUGGUCUGAGAGGAUGACCAGCCACACUGGAACUGAGACACGGUCCAGAAGCCUACGGGAGGCAGCAGGGGGGAAUAUUGGACAAUGGGCGCAAGCCUGAUGCAGCCAUGCCGCGUGGGUGAAGAAUGCCUUCGGGUUGGAAAGCACUUUCAGCGAGGAGGCGUUACUCGCAGAAGAAGCACCGGCUAACUCCGUGCCAGCAGCCGCGGUAAUAC